ACGGAACUUCGGGUUUAGUGGCGGACGGUAGUACGCGUGAGAAUCUGCUCUAGGUCGGGACACACUGGAAACGGUUGCUAUACCGAUGUGCGCAUGUGAAAGAUUAUUGCUAGAGAUGAGCUCGCGUCUGAUUAGCUAGUGGUGUGGUAUGGCGCACUAGGCGACGAUCAGUAACUGGUCUGAGAGGAUGACAGUCACCUGGGACUGAGACACGGNCCAGAUCCUACGGGAGGCAGCAGUGGGGAAUUUCCGCAAUGGGCGAAAGCCUGACGGAGCAAUACCGCGUGAGGGACGAAGGCUUUUGGGUCGUAAACCUCUUUUCCCUGAGAAGAAGAUCUGACCGGUAUCAGGGGAAUCAGCAUCGGCUAACUUCGUGCCAGCAGCCGCGGUAAAUACGAGGGAUGCAAGCGUUAUCCGGAAUUAUUGGGCGUAAAGCGUCCGCAAGGUGGCUCUGUAAGUCUGUCGUUAAAGAAUGGGGCUCAACCCCAUACAGGCGACGGAAACUACAAGGCUAGAGUUUGGUAGGGGUCACGGGAAUUCUUAGUGUAGCGGUGAAAUGCGUAGAUAUUAAGAAGAACACCAGCGGCGAAAGCGCGUGACUGGGCCAGUACUGACACUCAUGGAC
rnacentral:rRNA from 1 species